rnacentral:rRNA from 1 species
CAGUAGCCGCGGGAAUACGUAGGGUGCAAGCGUUAAUCGGAAUUACUGGGCGUAAAGCGCGCGCAGGCGGUUUGCUAAGACAGAUGUGAAAUCCCCGGGCUCAACCUGGGAACUGCAUUUGUGACUGGCAAGCUAGAGUGUGGCAGAGGGGGGUGGAAUUCCGCGUGUAGCAGUGAAAUGCGUAGAUAUGCGGAGGAACACCGAUGGCGAAGGCAGCCCCCUGGGCCAACACUGACGCUCAUGCACGAAAGCGUGGGGAGCAAACAGGAUUAGAUACCCCAGUAGUCCCUGUCUCUUAUAC